rnacentral:rRNA from 1 species
GAGUUUGAUCCUGGCUCAGGACGAACGCUGGCGGCGUGCCUAACACAUGCAAGUCGAACGGAGAUACUGAAUUUCGGUUUAGUAUUUUAGUGGCGCACGGGUGAGUAACGCGUGAACAACUUGACCUUCAGAGGGGGAUAACAGCGAGAAAUCGGUGCUAAUACCGCAUGAGACCACAAACCCGCAUGGGGAAGGGGUCAAAGGAGGAAUCCGCUGAAGGAGAGGUUCGCGUCCCAUUAGGUAGUUGGCGGGAUAACAGCCCACCAAGCCGACGAUGGGUAGCCGAGCUGAGAGGCUGAUCGGCCACAUUGGGACUGAGACACGGCCCAAACUCCUACGGGAGGCAGCAGUGGGGAAUAUUGCACAAUGGGGGAAACCCUGAUGCAGCGACGCCGCGUGAGCGAAGAAGUAUUUCGGUAUGUAAAGCUCUAUCAGCAGGGAAGAAAAUGACGGUACCUGACUAAGAAGCCCCGGCUAACUACGUGCCAGCCGCCGCGGUAAUAC